UGUGGUGCUUGAACUUAUCUC
rnacentral:piRNA from 1 species